GACGAACGCUGGCGGCGUGCUUAACACAUGCAAGUCGAACGGGUCUGCCCUGUUUUUUGCGGGGUGGGUCAGUGGCGAACGGGUGAGUAACACGUGAGUAACCUGCCCCUCACUUCUGGAUGACCGCUUGAAAGGGUGGCUAAUACGGGGUGUUCUGGCUGUGCCGCAUGGUGUGGCUGGGAAAGAUUCACUUUUGUGGUGUUUUGGUGGGGGAUGGGCUCGCGGCCUAUCAGCUUGUUGGUGGGGUGAUGGCCUGCCAAGGCUUUGACGGGUAGCCGGCCUGAGAGGGUGGGCGGUCACACUGGGACUGAGAUACGGCCCAGACUCCUGCGGGAGGCAGCAGUGGGGGGUAUUGCACAAUGGGCGGAAGCCUGAUGCAGCGACGUCGCGUGAGGGAUGGAGGCCUUCGGGUUGUGAACCUCUUUCGCCGGUGAAGAAGGUCCUGCUCUUUGUGGUGGGGUUGACGGUAGCCGGGUUAUGAAGCGCCGGCUAACUACGUG
rnacentral:rRNA from 1 species